rnacentral:rRNA from 1 species
CUCGAUGGUAGUGUAUUGGACUACCAUGNNNNNNNCGGGUAACGGAGAAUUAGGGUUCGAUUCCGGAGAGGGAGCCUGAGAAACGGCUACCACAUCUACGGAAGGCAGCAGGCGCGAAAAUUGCCCAAUCCCGACACGGGGAGGCAGUGACAAGAAAUAACAACUCUAGGAUUUCUUAGAAGUGUAAUGAGGAUAAUUUACAAACCUUACCGAAUGCAAUUGGAGGGCAAGUCUGGUGCCAGCAGCCGCGGUAAUUCCAGCUCCAAUAGCGUAUAUUAAAGUUGUUGCAGUUAAAAAGCUCGUAGUUGAAGUUCUGAUUGCUCAGGUCUUCAGCCCUCAGGCGAGGAUACUGACAGUCAUCCGCUUGCAAGCAUAUGUUCGACCUUCAAAAGUCGGCUAUGUGAGUAAGCAUUUUACCUUGAGAAAAACAGAGUGUUCCAGGCAGGUUUGUCCGGGAUGCAUUAGCAUGGAAUAAUAGAACAUGACUAGAGUCUUUUUAUUGGUUAUAGGCUAUAGUAAU